rnacentral:rRNA from 1 species
AUGGAAUUUAGGGGCUUUGUGCAAAUCUUGGUUUCGCCCUGCAUUUUAAAUGUCUGCUUGGUUUGUGUUAGCCGGAAGUACAUUGUAUGGAUUUCAUUUGGCAUGCUUGGUUUCUGCGAACUUUGUACAACUUCGGUGGUAGUGAUCUCUGAACUGCGCUGGAGCAAAUUCGCCUUGGUACAGUUGUUGGACGACGAAACACAACUCAAGUCGACAGCGAAUCCAACAGCUGCAUUGUAUUUGCAACUUGUACCACAUCUUAUGAUUGAUCGAAACCAAAUGUGGUGGAUGGCACGUCGCUAUGCUAUGAUGAUCAAUUGUUGGGCACAUGGUUGGCGCCAGCUCGUUGAACUAUUAUUCUUUUUCCCUUUUCAACCUGUCAGUUGUUUACAUCAAAGCAUAAGCCGUUGA